rnacentral:rRNA from 1 species
AGAUUAAGUUAUUAAGGGCGCACGGUGGAUGCCUUGGCACUAGAAGCCGAUGAAGGACGUUACUAACGACGAUAUGCUUUGGGGAGCUGUAAGUAAGCUUUGAUCCAGAGAUUUCCGAAUGGGGAAACCCAGCAUGAGUUAUGUCAUGUUAUCGAUAUGUGAAUACAUAGCAUAUCAGAAGGCACACCCGGAGAACUGAAACAUCUUAGUACCCGGAGGAAGAGAAAGAAAAUUCGAUUCCCUUAGUAGCGGCGAGCGAAACGGGAAGAGCCCAAACCAACAAGCUUGCUUGUUGGGGUUGUAGGACACUCUAUACGGAGUUACAAAGGACGACAUUAGACGAAUCAUCUGGAAAGAUGAAUCAAAGAAGGUAAUAAUCCUGUAGUCGAAAAUGUUGUCUCUCUUGAGUGGAUCCUGAGUACGACGGAGCACGUGAAAUUCCGUCGGAAUCUGGGAGGACCAUCUCCUAAGGCUAAAUACUCUCUAGUGACCGAUAGUGAACCAGUACCGUGAGGGAAAGGUGAAAAGCACCCCGGAAGGGGAGUGAAAUAGAACCUGAAACCGUGUGCUUACAAGUAGUCAGAGCCCGUUAAUGGGUGAUGGCGUGCCUUUUGUAGAAUGAACCGGCGAGUUACGAUUUGAUGCAAGGUUAAGCAGUAAAUGUGGAGCCGUAGCGAAAGCGAGUCUGAAUAGGGCGUUUAGUAUUUGGUCGUAGACCCGAAACCAGGUGAUCUACCCUUGGUCAGGUUGAAGUUCAGGUAACACUGAAUGGAGGACCGAACCGACUUACGUUGAAAAGUGAGCGGAUGAACUGAGGGUAGCGGAGAAAUUCCAAUCGAACCUGGAGAUAGCUGGUUCUCUCCGAAAUAGCUUUAGGGCUAGCCUCAAGUGAUGAUUAUUGGAGGUAGAGCACUGUUUGGACGAGGGGCCCCUCUCGGGUUACCGAAUUCAGACAAACUCCGAAUGCCAAUUAAUUUAACUUGGGAGUCAGAACAUGGGUGAUAAGGUCCGUGUUCGAAAGGGAAACAGCCCAGACCACCAGCUAAGGUCCCAAAAUAUAUGUUAAGUGGAAAAGGAUGUGGCGUUGCCCAGACAACUAGGAUGUUGGCUUAGAAGCAGCCAUCAUUUAAAGAGUGCGUAAUAGCUCACUAGUCGAGUGACACUGCGCCGAAAAUGUACCGGGGCUAAACAUAUUACCGAAGCUGUGGAUUGUCCUUUGGACAAUGGUAGGAGAGCGUUCUAAGGGCGUUGAAGCAUGAUCGUAAGGACAUGUGGAGCGCUUAGAAGUGAGAAUGCCGGUGUGAGUAGCGAAAGACGGGUGAGAAUCCCGUCCACCGAUUGACUAAGGUUUCCAGAGGAAGGCUCGUCCGCUCUGGGUUAGUCGGGUCCUAAGCUGAGGCCGACAGGCGUAGGCGAUGGAUAACAGGUUGAUAUUCCUGUACCACCUAUAAUCGUUUUAAUCGAUGGGGGGACGCAGUAGGAUAGGCGAAGCGUGCGAUUGGAUUGCACGUCUAAGCAGUAAGGCUGAGUAUUAGGCAAAUCCGGUACUCGUUAAGGCUGAGCUGUGAUGGGGAGAAGACAUUGUGUCUUCGAGUCGUUGAUUUCACACUGCCGAGAAAAGCCUCUAGAUAGAAAAUAGGUGCCCGUACCGCAAACCGACACAGGUAGUCAAGAUGAGAAUUCUAAGGUGAGCGAGCGAACUCUCGUUAAGGAACUCGGCAAAAUGACCCCGUAACUUCGGGAGAAGGGGUGCUCUUUAGGGUUAACGCCCAGAAGAGCCGCAGUGAAUAGGCCCAAGCGACUGUUUAUCAAAAACACAGGUCUCUGCUAAACCGUAAGGUGAUGUAUAGGGGCUGACGCCUGCCCGGUGCUGGAAGGUUAAGAGGAGUGGUUAGCUUCUGCGAAGCUACGAAUCGAAGCCCCAGUAAACGGCGGCCGUAACUAUAACGGUCCUAAGGUAGCGAAAUUCCUUGUCGGGUAAGUUCCGACCCGCACGAAAGGCGUAACGAUUUGGGCACUGUCUCAACGAGAGACUCGGUGAAAUCAUAGUACCUGUGAAGAUGCAGGUUACCCGCGACAGGACGGAAAGACCCCGUGGAGCUUUACUGUAGCCUGAUAUUGAAAUUCGGCACAGCUUGUACAGGAUAGGUAGGAGCCUUUGAAACGUG